CACAAGUCUGGUGCAGGACCUGACCACCGUCAUGCUGAGGACCAACCCCGACCGCCGCCCAACAGCCGACGCCCUUCUCAUGCUGCCCGCCCUCAAGCCCUACGUCGAGAACUACCUGCAUAAGCACGAGGAACUUCUCUCGAGCAGAACGCCGGCAACGCAUACUUCUCAGGCGCAAAACAAAAUAAUUGCAAGUCUGUCGAGAGACCGGAAGCCUCGAUCGAGCCUGGACCUGAAAUGCGUCGGUUCUCGC